GACGUAGGGUGCGAGCGUUGUCCGGAUUUAUUGGGCGUAAAGAGCUCGUAGGCGGCUCGUCGCGUCGACCGUGAAAACCCGCGGCUUAACUGCGGGCUUGCGGUUGAUACGGGCGGGCUAGAGUUCGGUAGGGGAGACUGGAAUUCCUGGUGUAGCGGUGAAAUGCGCAGAUAUCAGGAGGAAUACCGGUGGCGAAAGCGACUCUCUGGACGGCAACUGACGCUGAGGCACGAAAGCGUGGGGAGCAAACAGG
rnacentral:rRNA from 1 species